UAGGGAAUCUUCCGCAAUGGGCGAAAGCCUGACGGAGCAACGCCGCGUGAGUGAUGAAGGUCUUCGGAUCGUAAAACUCUGUUAUUAGGGAAGAACAAAUGUGUAAGUAACUAUGCACGUCUUGACGGUACCUAAUCAGAAAGCCACGGCUAACUACGUGCCAGCAGCCGCGGUAAUACGUAGGUGGCAAGCGUUAUCCGGAAUUAUUGGGCGUAAAGCGCGGGUAGGCGGUUUUUUAAGUCUGAUGUGAAAGCCCACGGCUCAACCGUGGAGGGUCAUUGGAAACUGGAAAACUUGAGUGCAGAAGAGGAAAGUGGAAUUCCAUGUGUAGCGGUGAAAUGCGCAGAGAUAUGGAGGAACACCAGUGGCGAAGGCGACUUUCUGGUCUGUAACUGACGCUGAUGUGCGAAAGCGCGGGGAUCAAACAGG
rnacentral:rRNA from 1 species